rnacentral:rRNA from 1 species
CCUACGGGAGGCAGCAGUAGGGAAUUUUCGGCAAUGGGGGGAACCCUGACCGAGCAACGCCGCGUGAACGAAGAAGUUAUUCGUAAUGUAACGUUUUUUUAACAGGGAAGAAAGAGAAAUUUGACGGUACCUGAAGAAUAAGCCCCGGCUAAAUACGUUCCAGCAGCCGCGGUAAUACGUAGGGAGCAAGGGUUAUCCGGAAUGAGUGGGCGUAAAGGGUGCGUAGUUGGCAUAGUAAGUCUUUUGUAAAAAUGCGGGGCUCAACCCAGUAGGGCAAAAGAUACUGCAAAGCUAGAGUAUGACAGAGGCAAGUGGAACUACAGGUGUAGCGGUAAAAUGAGUAAAUAUAUGUAAGAACACCAGUGGCGAAGGCGGCUUGCUGGGUCGAUACUGACAUUGAGGCACGAAAGCGUGGGGAGCAAACAGGAUUAGAUACCCUAGUAGUC